rnacentral:rRNA from 1 species
UUCUGGACAGUACUGACGCUGAGAUGCGAAAGCGUGGGGAGCAAACAGGAUUAGAUACCCUGGUAGUCCACGCUGUAAACGAUGUCGAUUUGGAGUUUGUUGCCUAGAGUGAUGGGCUCCGAAGCUAACGCGAUAAAUCGACCGCCUGGGGAGUACGGCCGCAAGGUUAAAACUCAAAUGAAUUGACGGGGGCCCGCACAAGCGGUGGAGCAUGUGGUUUAAUUCGAUGCAACGCGAAGAACCUUACCUGGUCUUGACAUCCAUAGAAUUCUGCAGAGAUGUGGGAGUGCCUUCGGGAACUAUGAGACAGGUGCUGCAUGGCCGUCGUCAGCUCGUGUUGUGAAAUGUUGGGUUAAGUCCCGCAACGAGCGCAACCCUUAUUCUUUGUUGCCAGCGAUUUGGUCGGGAACUCAAAGGAGACUGCCGUUGAUAAAGCGGAGGAAGGUGGGGACGACGUCAAGUCAUCAUGGCCCUUACGACCAGGGCUACACACGUGCUACAAUGGCGUAUACAAAGGGAAGCGAAGGUGCGAGCUGGAGCGGAUCUCAUAAAGUACGUCUAAGUUCGGAUUGGAGUCUGCAACUCGACUCCAUGAAGUCGGAAUCGCUAGUAAUCGUAGAUCAGAAUGCUACGGUGAAUACGUUCCCGGGCCUUGUACACACCGCCCGUCACACCAUGGGAGUGGGUUGCACCAGAAGUAGAUAGCUUAACCGCGAGGGGGGCGUUUACCACGGUGUGAUUCAUGACUGGGGUGAAGUCGUAACAAGGUAACCA